rnacentral:rRNA from 1 species
CCUACAAUGCAAGUCGAAGGGGAUUAACGCCUGCAUGAAGUUUUCGGAUGGAGUCUUGUUNAUUCUAGCUGGCGAACGGGUGAGUAACGCGCUGAGCAACCUGCCCUUCAGUGGGGGACAACAGCCUGGAAACGGCUGCCUAAUACCGCAUAACACAGUUUGGUGGCNUCAUUAAACUGUCAAAGAUUUAUCGCUGAAGGAUGGGCUCGCGUCUGAUUAGCUAGUUGGUGAGGUAACGGCUCACCAAGGCAACGAUCAGUAGCCGGACUGAGAGGUUGAACGGCCACNUUGGGACUGAGAUACGGCCCAGACUCCUACGGGAGGCAGCAGUGAGGAAUAUUGGGCAAUGGGCGAAAGCCUGACCCAGCAAUGCCCGCGUGAGGGAAGAAGGUUUUCGGAUUGUAAACCUCUUUUCUGAAGGAAGAUAAUGACGGUACUUCAGGAAUAAGCCACGGCUAACUACGUGCCAGCAGCCGCGGUAAUACGUAGGUGGCAAGCGUUGUCCGGAUUUACUGGGUGUAAAGGGCGAGUAGGCNGGAGUGUAAGUCANGUGUGAAAUCUAUGGGCUCAACCCAUAAACUGCACUUGAAACUAUACUUCUUGAGUGAUGGAGAGGCAGGCGGAAUUCCGAGUGUACCGGUGGAAUGCGUACAUAUUCGGAGGAACACCAGUGGCNAANGCGGCCUGCUGGACAUUAACUGACGCUGAGGAGCGAAAGCGUGGGGAGCAAACAGGAUUANAUACCCUGNUANUCCACGCUGUAAAACNAUGGAUACUAGGUGUGGGAGGUAUUGACCCCUUCCG